GCCAGACUCCUACGGGAGGCAGCAGUGGGGAAUAUUGGACAAUGGGGGGAACCCUGAUCCAGCGACGCCGCGUGAGUGAAGAAGUAUUUCGGUAUGUAAAGCUCUCUCAGCAGGGAAGAUAAUGACGGUACCUGAGUAAGAAGCCCCGGCUAACUACGUGCCAGCAGCCGCGGUAAUACGUAGGGGGCAAGCGUUAUCCGGAUUUACUGGGUGUAAAGGGAGCGUAGACGGCAUGGCAAGUCUGAAGUGAAAGCCCGGGGCUCAACCGCGGGACUGCUUUGGAAACUGUUAAGCUGGAGUGCAGGAGAGGUAAGUGGAAUUCCUAGUGUAGCGGUGAAAUGCGUAGAUAUUAGGAGGAACACCAGUGGCGAAGGCGGCUUACUGGACUGUAACUGACGUCGAGGCUCGAAAGCGUGGGGAGCAAACAGGAUUAGAUACCCCAGUA
rnacentral:rRNA from 1 species